AUGGGGCACCUCACACCACCCCCGCCGGUAAAGAUCAGAUCCGUUGAGCCAAAAGGGCGGACGCCACCUUCCACGGUUCCCGAUCCUUAUUGGAACACCGACCAUGUUAUGGCCUGGAGGCAUUUCCGUUUGCCUACACCAAUCUACGUCAGAGUGGAUCGUUCAGGAGUCUAUCACUCAUAUCCAGAGCUGCCAGGUCGGCCGUUCCAGAGCUUUGAUGCAAUUGCAAGUGCUCUCCAUACCUAUGCUCGUGGCAGUAGCACUGACACGUCCAAGGAAACAAAUAAGGAGCGUCUUAUACGUGAAUCUCUUGAGUGGUCAGAUGGUACGAGGAAGGUCGCCACAAGUUCGAAAAUAGCUGAGAGGGAAAUUAAGAAUGUGCACAGACUGGUUAAAGCUUUACUGGACAAGAAGCACGACGAUGAGGAUUUCGAGUAUGAACUCAAAGAUAUUGUGCAUUGGCAAUUAAUCUCUGAAGGUCCCAAUGCAUGGUACUACCAUCUCAAUAUCACUAUGAAAACUAAAGGAGCUGAUGAUGAUGCGGGCAGUGUCAAUCUAUUCUUCGCUGAAGUCACACGUCAUCAGAGCGAUAUGCCAGGAUAUUUUCUCAGCAGUUUCUGCAGAAUUGACCCUAACAGCAAGGACGUUCACUGCCAUGGUUGUACGAACAAUGGAAGUAUUCAUCUGAAGCACCCCCCUACUCAUUUUGAUUGCGGCCACACUGAUCUCUCCCUUGGUUAUGAUGCAUGUAACGAUGAGGUGUGCCGCGACGCCCAAAACAAGGAAGACGACGAUGAAGAAGAAGAACUGAGAGAAGAGGAGGAAAGGAUAAGAGAGUCCUUUGAUUACCUUGACGAUGUGGAAUUUAUGGAGAAACUCCGCAAGAAACGUGCUGAGCUCUUAGCCUUACAUUCCAAAAUCCAGGAGGAUGAAGAAACGACAUGUAAAGACUGA
rnacentral:rRNA from 1 species